AACCCUAGAUGUUGUGUAUAUCCCUUUGCAACCAACCUUGCCUUAUACCUUUCUAUGGAUCCAUCUGCUUUGUGUUUAACCUUGUAUACCCACCAACAACCAAU